rnacentral:lncRNA from 1 species
GUUUGGGUCGCUGGCGUUUGGAGUUUCGGCGAGGUGAAUCGCCGGUGUGGCUAGACGGCAACGGCUCAACUCGACUUGGGUAGAGGCGGAGCAAGGCGGACAGGCGGUUGCUGUGGCGUGCGUCGCUCGGAGCAGCUCGUUGGGUGGUGGGUGGAUCGCGCGAGCUCACGGGCAAAGGAACCUAAGUGGUAACGUAGCGAGG